AGCUGGUAAAAUGGAACCAGAU
rnacentral:miRNA from 15 species